ACAGGGAUUGCCCCAGUAACGGCGAGUGAAGCGGCAACAGCUCAAAUUUGAAAUCUGGCCCCCAGGGCCCGAGUUGUAAUUUGCAGAGGAUGCUUUUGGCGCGGUGCCUUCCGAGUUCCCUGGAACGGGACGCCAUAGAGGGUGAGAGCCCCGUCUGGUCGGACGCCCAGCCUGUGUAAAGCUCCUUCGACGAGUCGAGUAGUUUGGGAAUGCUGCUCUAAAUGGGAGGUAUAUGUCUUCUAAAGCUAAAUACCGGCCAGAGACCGAUAGCGCACAAGUAGAGUGAUCGAAAGAUGAAAAGCACUUUGAAAAGAGGGUUAAAUAGUACGUGAAAUUGUUGAAAGGGAAGCGCUUGUGACCAGACUUGGGCCCGGUGGAUCAUCCAGCGUUCUCGCUGGUGCACUCCGCCGGGUUCAGGCCAGCAUCAGUUCGCCGCGGGGGAAAAAGGCUUCGGGAACGUGGCUCCUACGGGAGUGUUAUAGCCCGUUGCAUAAUACCCUGGGGCGGACUGAGGUUCGCGCUCCGCAAGGAUGCUGGCGUAAUGGUCAUCAGCGACCC
rnacentral:rRNA from 2 species